AGAGUUUGAUCCUGGCUCAGGACGAACGCUGGCGGCGUGCCUAAUACAUGCAAGUAGAACGCUGAAGAGAGGAGCUUGCUCUUCUUGGAUGAGUUGCGAACGGGUGAGUAACGCGUAGGUAACCUGCCUUGUAGCGGGGGAUAACUAUUGGAAACGAUAGCUAAUACCGCAUAACAAUGGAUGACACAUGUCAUUUAUUUGAAAGGGGCAAUUGCUCCACUACAAGAUGGACCUGCGUUGUAUUAGCUAGUAGGUGAGGUAAUGGCUCACCUAGGCGACGAUACAUAGCCGACCUGAGAGGGUGAUCGGCCACACUGGGACUGAGACACGGCCCUGACUCCUACGGGAGGCAGCAGUAGGGAAUCUUCGGCAAUGGGGGCAACCCUGACCGAGCAACGCCGCGUGAGUGAAGAAGGUUUUCGGAUCGUAAAGCUCUGUUGUAAGUCAAGAACGGGUGUGAGAGUGGAAAGUUCACACUGUGACGGUAGCUUACCAGAAAGGGACGGCUAACUACGUGCCAGCAGCCGCGGUAAUACGUAGGUCCCGAGCGUUGUCCGGAUUUAUUGGGCGUAAAGCGAGCGCAGGCGGUUUGAUAAGUCUGAAGUUAAAGGCUGUGGCUCAACCAUAGUUCGCUUUGGAAACUGUCAAACUUGAGUGCAGAAGGGGAGAGUGGAAUUCCAUGUGUAGCGGUGAAAUGCGUAGAUAUAUGGAGGAACACCGGUGGCGAAAGCGGCUCUCUGGUCUGUAACUGACGCUGAGGCUCGAAAGCGUGGGGAGCGAACAGGAUUAGAUACCCUGGUAGUCCACGCCGUAAACGAUGAGUGCUAGGUGUUGGAUCCUUUCCGGGAUUCAGUGCCGCAGCUAACGCAUUAAGCACUCCGCCUGGGGAGUACGACCGCAAGGUUGAAACUCAAAGGAAUUGACGGGGGCCCGCACAAGCGGUGGAGCAUGUGGUUUAAUUCGAAGCAACGCGAAGAACCUUACCAGGUCUUGACAUCCCGAUGCUAUUUCUAGAGAUAGAAAGUUACUUCGGUACAUCGGUGACAGGUGGUGCAUGGUUGUCGUCAGCUCGUGUCGUGAGAUGUUGGGUUAAGUCCCGCAACGAGCGCAACCCCUAUUGUUAGUUGCCAUCAUUCAGUUGGGCACUCUAGCGAGACUGCCGGUAAUAAACCGGAGGAAGGUGGGGAUGACGUCAAAUCAUCAUGCCCCUUAUGACCUGGGCUACACACGUGCUACAAUGGUUGGUACAACGAGUUGCGAGUCGGUGACGGCGAGCUAAUCUCUUAAAGCCAAUCUCAGUUCGGAUUGUAGGCUGCAACUCGCCUACAUGAAGUCGGAAUCGCUAGUAAUCGCGGAUCAGCACGCCGCGGUGAAUACGUUCCCGGGCCUUGUACACACCGCCCGUCACACCACGAGAGUUUGUAACACCCGAAGUCGGUGAGGUAACCUUUUGGAGCCAGCCGCCUAAGGUGGGACAGAUGAUUGGGGUGAAGUCGUAACAAGGUA
rnacentral:rRNA from 1 species